AAUGGGUCGCAAAUGGGCAGUUGAGAAUCAGGUUGGAGAAAAGAACUUGGUUAUUGAUGAUUGUGAUGCAAAACAAUCUGUUUAUGUUUAUGGAUGCAAAAAUAGUGUAUUGCAAGUCAAGGGAAAGGUGAACAACAUAACCAUAGAUAAAUGCACUAAAAUGGGGAUCCUCUUUAAGUGUGGUGUGAUCUUUUAACUCAGGAUAUAGUUGCAGCUUGUGAAAUUGUGAACUGCAACAGUGUUGAGGUGCAAUGUGAGGGCUCAGCGCCGACAAUAUUAAUAGACAAUACAUCAGGUUGCCAACUUUAUCUGGGCAAAGAUUCAUUGGAGACUUCUAUAACAAUUGCUAAAUCAAGUGAGGUUAAUGUUCUGGUUUCUGGUGCAGGCCCUGAUGGUGACUGGGCUGAGCAUCCGCUGCCGCAACAGUUUGUUCAUACUUUCAGAGAUGGACAAUUCACAACUUCACCGGUUUCCCAUUCCGGCGGGUAAUCGAUUUCACUACACACCUCGAUUCCUGCAACAUUUCGUCGGCCUUUUUAGAAAAUCAGUGCACGCUAGCUAAUGAACAUUUUCGAGUUUUUCUGUUUAGGUUGAUGUAUUGUUUGAUAAAGUAAUUGGCAUGUUUCAAUAGUAUAUGGUGUAAUUUGCUUGAUCUAUCACUUUUAAGGCAUGUUAAAUUCUCGGCAAAGAA